GAAUAGGUAUGAAGCAAGAAGGCAUCAAGAAGUGAGUUGGUAACCCAGACAGUGAUGGUGGAUCCAGCCAGAUGGAUGUAAAAAAGAGGAGGGAAGAUCUAAUUUAAAAUCUCACAUAACCCAAUAUCACUACCAAACAAAUUCCUGAAUUUACCUAAAUAAUACUUCGAAGACAUGUUUGGAAUUGGUAAACGAAUAUGUUAUUGUGGAACAAGGGGGAUUAUUGUUAUACAAUAAAUAGCUUUAACCAACCUCUUAAAAGAGCAUGAUCACCAAUAGGCCAUAGGCCAGAGAUGGAAAAAGAGCCAAGCCUCAGGCACCAGAGGUGGCAGGGCCUCUGAUCCCGAAUUCCACCAUGUACCAAAUGGACAAAGGAUGGAAUUUCCAAGUGAAAAUGUAACCAAUAGUACUGAUCCAUGUGUGGGGGAAUAUGACGCACAACAACUGUGACCCAAGUAGCAACAAUGACGCACCCACCCUCUUACGGCUACUUUCUGCCGUUUUGCGUCCGAUUUACUGCCUGGUGAAACUGUUUAAAAGCUCUUUGCAUCGCUCAGUAGGCUACAUGGCUGGUGUAGGAUCAACAACUUCCCCUUCCCCAAUCCUAACAUUAACCAUUAGUAGGGGAAAUGCGAAACUGGCCCAAUAGCAACGUCUAGGGGCAACUUUACCCGGCCUAAACGGUUUGUUUCGAUAGGACGUCAUGGACUGUUGACAAAAACAAGUCCGUCAUAAAUAACAGUCCGAGAUCAAACGAGAGAGAUGGGAACCCUGAAUACCUAUCCUAGCUCCCGUUUGCUUCUAUUUCUAUUCAAUUCAAUUAGAUCGACGUCUCGAGACUCAGAGCUCUCUCUGACAUGUAACAGUGUUACAGUAUCCCAACAACUGUGUAAACUCAUGAAACUACACCCAUCAUAUCCAGUUUGUUUUACAGUUCAUUGUAGUGAUGAUGUCAACCGAAUCAUUUCAAGGAUAGGACUAGCUGAUGCGGUCCACUUGCGUUAUCCAAAUCGUGUUGCUGAUAACUUAUUGUGUCUGGCUUGGCCUUGGUCUUGGUUGGGGCGAUGUCUCGGCCCACCUACACAGAAAUGGAGUCUUUCACCCACACAUCCCAGGGCCUGUCUCACACCUCCAUCCUCCUCAUAG
rnacentral:lncRNA from 8 species